GGUUAAGCGACUAAGCGUACACGGUGGAUGCCCUGGCAGUCAGAGGCGAUGAAGGGCGUGCUAAUCUGCGAUAAGCGCCGGUAAGGUGAUAUGAACCGUUAUAACCGGCGAUACCCGAAUGGGGAAACCCAGUGUGAUUCGUCACACUAUCAUUAACUGAAUCCAUAGGUUAAUGAGGCGAACCGGGGGAACUGAAACAUCUAAGUACCCCGAGGAAAAGAAAUCAACCGAGAUUCCCCCAGUAGCGGCGAGCGAACGGGGAGGAGCCCAGAGCCUGAAUCAGCAUGUGUGUUAGUGGAAGCGUCUGGAAAGGUGCGCGAUACAGGGUGACAGCCCCGUACACAAAAGCGCAUGUGCUGUGAGCUCGAUGAGUAGGGCGGGACACGUGGUAUCCUGUCUGAAUAUGGGGGGACCAUCCUCCAAGGCUAAAUACUCCUGACUGACCGAUAGUGAACCAGUACCGUGAGGGAAAGGCGAAAAGAACCCCGGCGAGGGGAGUGAAAAAGAACCUGAAACCGUGUACGUACAAGCAGUGGGAGCACAGGUUUACCUGUGUGACUGCGUACCUUUUGUAUAAUGGGUCAGCGACUUAUAUUCUGUAGCAAGGUUAACCGUAUAGGGGAGCCGGAGGGAAACCGAGUCUUAAUUGGGCGUUAAGUUGCAGGGUAUAGACCCGAAACCCGGUGAUCUAGCCAUGGGCAGGUUGAAGGUUGGGUAACACUAACUGGAGGACCGAACCGACUAAUGUUGAAAAAUUAGCGGAUGACCUGUGGCUGGGGGUGAAAGGCCAAUCAAACCGGGAGAUAGCUGGUUCUCCCCGAAAGCUAUUUAGGUAGCGCCUCGUGAAUUCAUCUCCGGGGGUAGAGCACUGUUUCGGCUAGGGGGCCAUCCCGGCUUACCAACCCGAUGCAAACUGCGAAUACCGGAGAAUGUUAUCACGGGAGACACACGGCGGGUGCUAACGUCCGUCGUGAAGAGGGAAACAACCCAGACCGCCAGCUAAGGUCCCAAAGUCAUGGUUAAGUGGGAAACGAUGUGGGAAGGCCCAGACAGCCAGGAUGUUGGCUUAGAAGCAGCCAUCAUUUAAAGAAAGCGUAAUAGCUCACUGGUCGAGUCGGCCUGCGCGGAAGAUGUAACGGGGCUAAACCAUGCACCGAAGCUGCGGCAGCGAACGUAUCACCCAAGACAACUUUACGGAGUUGACGAUUGACGGAGCGAAGCGACGUCAAAGCGUUCAUUAAAGUCGAGUUGGCUUAGGGAUACGUUCGUUGGGUAGGGGAGCGUUCUGUAAGCCUGUGAAGGUGUGUCGUGAGGCAUGCUGGAGGUAUCAGAAGUGCGAAUGCUGACAUAAGUAACGAUAAAGCGGGUGAAAAGCCCGCUCGCCGGAAGACCAAGGGUUCCUGUCCAACGUUAAUCGGGGCAGGGUGAGUCGACCCCUAAGGCGAGGCCGAAAGGCGUAGUCGAUGGGAAACGGGUUAAUAUUCCCGUACUUGGUGUUACUGCGAAGGGGGGACGGAGAAGGCUAUGUUGGCCGGGCGACGGUUGUCCCGGUUUAAGCGUGUAGGUGUGUGUUCCAGGUAAAUCCGGUUCACUUUAACACUGAGGCGUGACGACGAGGCACUACGGUGCUGAAGCAACAAAUGCCCUGCUUCCAGGAAAAGCCUCUAAGCAUCAGGUAACACGAAAUCGUACCCCAAACCGACACAGGUGGUCAGGUAGAGAAUACCAAGGCGCUUGAGAGAACUCGGGUGAAGGAACUAGGCAAAAUGGUGCCGUAACUUCGGGAGAAGGCACGCUGACACGUAGGUGAAGUGAUUUACUCAUGGAGCUGAAGUCAGUCGAAGAUACCAGCUGGCUGCAACUGUUUAUUAAAAACACAGCACUGUGCAAACACGAAAGUGGACGUAUACGGUGUGACGCCUGCCCGGUGCCGGAAGGUUAAUUGAUGGGGUCAGCGUAAGCGAAGCUCCUGAUCGAAGCCCCGGUAAACGGCGGCCGUAACUAUAACGGUCCUAAGGUAGCGAAAUUCCUUGUCGGGUAAGUUCCGACCUGCACGAAUGGCGUAAUGAUGGCCAGGCUGUCUCCACCCGAGACUCAGUGAAAUUGAACUCGCUGUGAAGAUGCAGUGUACCCGCGGCAAGACGGAAAGACCCCGUGAACCUUUACUAUAGCUUGACACUGAACAUUGAGCCUUGAUGUGUAGGAUAGGUGGGAGGCUUUGAAGUGUGGACGCCAGUCUGCAUGGAGCCGACCUUGAAAUACCACCCUUUAAUGUUUGAUGUUCUAACGUGGACCCGUAAUCCGGGUUGCGGACAGUGUCUGGUGGGUAGUUUGACUGGGGCGGUCUCCUCCUAAAGAGUAACGGAGGAGCACGAAGGUUGGCUAAUCCUGGUCGGACAUCAGGAGGUUAGUGCAAUGGCAUAAGCCAGCUUGACUGCGAGCGUGACGGCGCGAGCAGGUGCGAAAGCAGGUCAUAGUGAUCCGGUGGUUCUGAAUGGAAGGGCCAUCGCUCAACGGAUAAAAGGUACUCCGGGGAUAACAGGCUGAUACCGCCCAAGAGUUCAUAUCGACGGCGGUGUUUGGCACCUCGAUGUCGGCUCAUCACAUCCUGGGGCUGAAGUAGGUCCCAAGGGUAUGGCUGUUCGCCAUUUAAAGUGGUACGCGAGCUGGGUUUAGAACGUCGUGAGACAGUUCGGUCCCUAUCUGCCGUGGGCGCUGGAGAACUGAGGGGGGCUGCUCCUAGUACGAGAGGACCGGAGUGGACGCAUCACUGGUGUUCGGGUUGUCAUGCCAAUGGCACUGCCCGGUAGCUAAAUGCGGAAGAGAUAAGUGCUGAAAGCAUCUAAGCACGAAACUUGCCCCGAGAUGAGUUCUCCCUGAGACUUAGAGUCUCCUGAAGGAACGUUGAAGACGACGACGUUGAUAGGCCGGGUGUGUAAGCGCAGCGAUGCGUUGAGCUAACCGGUACUAAUGAACCGUGAGGCUUAACCUU
rnacentral:rRNA from 1 species